CGUUGAAACACCGAUUCUCGUAACACCACCGAAGUUAAACAAUGCUGAUCCUAGUUAGUACCAAGAUGGGUAACCGCUUGGGAAUAUCAGAUGUUGUAAG